GCCCUUUUAACUCCGUGGUAGAGUAAUGCCAUGGCAAGGCAUAAGUCAUCGGUUCAAAUCCGAUAAAGGGCU
rnacentral:tRNA from 1 species